UGGGGAAUUUUGGACAAUGGGCGAAAGCCUGAUCCAGCAAUGCCGCGUGUGUGAAGAAGGCCUUCGGGUUGUAAAGCACUUUUGUCCGGAAAGAAAUCCUUGGCUCUAAUACAGUCGGGGGAUGACGGUACCGGAAGAAUAAGCACCGGCUAACUACGUGCCAGCAGCCGCGGUAAUACGUAGGGUGCAAGCGUUAAUCGGAAUUACUGGGCGUAAAGCGUGCGCAGGCGGUUUGCUAAGACCGAUGUGAAAUCCCCGGGCUCAACCUGGGAACUGCAUUGGUGACUGGCAGGCUAGAGUAUGGCAGAGGGGGGUAGAAUUCCACGUGUAGCAGUGAAAUGCGUAGAGAUGUGGAGGAAUACCGAUGGCGAAGGCAGCCCCCUGGGCCAAAUACUGACGCUCAUGCACGAAAGCGUGGGGAGCAAAACAGGAUUAGAUACCCUGGUAGUCCACGCCCUAAACGAUGUCAACUAGUUGUUGGGGAUUCAUUUCCUUAGUAACGUAGCUAACGCGUGAAGUUGACCGCCUGGGGAGUACGGUCGCAAGAUUAAAA
rnacentral:rRNA from 1 species